UAGAGUAUUCUCCCUCAAACAGUUUGAAGGUUAGAGAUCCCUUGUUGUGCAUUCACUUGCCUCCAUGGCUAAGUGGCUUAACCCCAACUAUGUCGUGGACACCCUCUGACGGAGUGACUUUGACAUAGUCAAAGAUCAAUGACCUAACCAUAAGACAACUAUGAUGCCUCAGGUUAAAUGACUACUUUGUAUUAUCCCAACCAUGAGUUCUCAUGUGACAUGAGUAUGAGAACUCCUUGUUGAUCGUGCUCAGUGGACUCAUUUUCUAUUGAGCACCUAUAUGCUUGUCUUGGUGUCAGUCACACCAAUGACUCGAGACCAGUCACUCUCCCUAAGAGAAGACAUAACACGUACUAAUCUUAACGGACAGUCAUUGCCCAAUUGGCAAUCCUAUGAUCAGGAACGUUUAGGAUAUGUAUACGGAAGAGAAUGGUCUCAUGAAUCUAACUUCUUUAGAUCGCAUUCUCCCAAUUACAUAUCCCUUGGACUUAUCGUUUAAGCAUAUAACAUUUAUAUGAGAUGGCUUCAAACAAUAAUCUUUGCCCUUUAAAUUAAACUAUAUUAGUUUAACAUGUGAAAUGUCCGUAAAGUAUCAUCAUCUGAUUGGUUUUAGGGCACAUUUCCAACAAUCUCCCAGUUGCACUAGAUCCAAUCAGCUUGGUCAUCAAUGAUGAUACCUCUUCUGUAGUCAUUUCAAAAAUGGCUGAGUAGUAGGCCUAAACAAUGGAUAUCUAUAUGUUAUCCAUAAAAGCAACCUUGAGAAUAACGACGUCACCAUUACACAUGAUUCUUAAUCAUGUGGUUUAGUCUCUCAUUUGAGUUCGGAUCUUGAUGAGACCGUGAUUCUCUGGCUUGAGCUAUCACCCCAUUAGUGUCGUAGUGUCGGUACACUUGAUGCGAAAUAUAUAAGCACACAAAUUAAACCCUCUUUUUAUCAAAUGUAGUGAAGUAUGUAAGUAGGGAUCGUUCUGGACCGGGGAUUAGGAGGGAUUGCUAAACACUUGAAAACUGACUUAGAAAUGUAAAAACAAAGUUUAAAACACUAAACUAGACUCAAAGAAUGUAAAACUAAAGUUUGAAACACUGAAACAAACCAAAAGACUCAAAACAGCGAACAAACACUCAAAACUGCCUUAAAAACACUUUUUGGGCAGUUUUGAACACAAACACAAAUUUGGACGAAAUUGGGUUACAACUUGAAUCAAAACACUUAAAAACACAAAUUAAAUGGAUUUCUAACUAAUCUAACACUUUAAAAUAAAGGGGGAUUUGGUUUUGACGAAAUUGAAAACAAGACAAAACUUUGUAAUUAAAACAAAUUCUAGAACGAAUUUGAAUGAAACUUAUGGAUGGAAGGCUAGCUAGGAGGUUCUUCUCCACACAUGUCACACUUGCAUACAAAAUGAUCUCCAAUUGCUUUUCGAUAAACUACGAAUACUUAACGCCCCAGAUUAACCGUGAAUUGCACUAAUUAACCCUCAGUUUUUCCACAAGUUAUUGAGUUGGAUGAUUGCAUACGAUAACCCAAAACAUUCCCUACAAGUUCCCUACAUGAAUUGCAUAAUAGAGAUACAAGCAAGAAUCAUUAAGUUCUAUGAAAAACAUAAGCAUUGACGAGACACUCGUUACUAUGAAUUGCAUGAAACUUAUGCCAAGAAUUUACUUAACGCGAUUGUGACUAGCAACCUUCACUACUUGCGAAUAUAAGUUCAUAACAAUUAGGUGAAACUCCCUUAUAUUCUAGCAUCAAAUUCAUGCAUGAAAAUUAAGCGUGCACUUUCAACCACCAUACACAAAUCAGUUUUUAUACGAACGGAUAAGUAAAUUGAAUUCACAACUUAUGAAACGCAAUUAGAAGUAAUCAAAUCAUAUUGCAAGCAUAAACAUGGUUUCGAAUUCCCCCCCCAGCCAAAGGGGGGUUUAGUUCCUUAUACUUACAAAACAAAGAGUAUUGAAUUUAAACAUUGAAAACAAGGGAAAGAAAACACCUAAAACGUUCCAGCAAUCCUAACUUGAAUGGCAUGCACGUCCAGGGCUUCUCCUCCUUCCUCUUUGCUGCGGCACAAGGUUUUGGGGACAUGUUUGGAUGGUAUUUGAAUGGAGGAAUGGAUGGGAGAUGAUAUGGUGGUGUUUAGGAUGGAUAUGGGGUGUGGCAAAAGAGAGAAAGAUGGCUGAAAAUGUGUUUGUGAUGUAGUGUAUGAAUGUGUAGAUGGGUUUGGCUAAAAGAAUGGAUGGAGAAUGGGUGGUGUGGCUGAUUGUGUUUUGAUGUAGUGUAGUGUCUUGUGUUCUUCCCUUCACUCCCUAUUUAUAGAAGCUCCAAAGCAAAGAAUCACUCAAGUGGCUUCAAUAAACAAUACAAAUAAAGACCAAAAUGAUGCAAAAAACGGCUAGUUUACAUGCUCUUUUAUCAUUGUGUCUUGCCUUAAACAAAAGGCAAUCAUUCCUCUCUUGCUAAUUCAACUCCUUUAUAGCUGUCCAUGUGCCUUCAUUCUUCAAUUUCCGAUGCAUUUUCCUUGUAUUCCAUCCCUUUUCCACAUGUACUAGCUGUUAGACAACUUUCACACACAUGUUUUGCAUCAUUUCAGCUUGCAAUUAUGUUUGUA
rnacentral:lncRNA from 1 species